ensembl:lincRNA Gm11820 predicted gene 11820
GAUGGUUGUUGGUCAUUUAUGGAGGUUGUUUGUGGUUUGUUAGUAUCCAUGGUCAAAGAAGAAACAAAAGAAAUUAGAUUUAGGGAUCUUCCUAAUUCCUCUCACCCCUCUAUUGUUUCUCUCAUAUCUAGUGUUAGGAGAUAAAACCAGGGGAAAAGGUGGGAAUAAAAAGAACUCAAAGUAGCAAAGACUAGCCACCAGUAUCUACCACCAAUGCUCUUCAAUAUAUUCUGUAAGGAAUAAAAUCACCUCAGCCGAUUGGCAUUUCUGUUGACAUAUGGAGGUCUGCAGUGGGAUGUUCUGGCAUUGAGAAUUGCCAUGCACUGAUGGCUGCUGGUGCUGCGGAUUGUUAGCAUCUACAAUCUUCAUUGAUCUCUACAGAAUCUGUACAUGACUUAAAAUCUUACUAUGUUCCAAAGCUUGGAGCAAAAGGAAAUACAAACACUGAAAGUAUGAAACUAUAAAUAUCAUAAAGAAAACAGCUAAAGAAGGAAUUGUAUUUCAUCUUGAUGUGAACUGAAAUGGACGUGGAUAUACCCUGGAGUCGGUUAUUAAUUCAGACAGAGGAGGCCACCAUCAACUGAUCUUUACAACUGAUCUUUGAAGGACAGGAGCGUGAAGCUAACUUCGGUUUUACUUGGCUAAAGUGUUUCAUUGACAAGAA